CAGUCGCCGCGGUAAUACGGAGGGUGCAAGCGUUAUCCGGAUUCACUGGGUUUAAAGGGUGCGUAGGCGGGCAGGUAAGUCAGUGGUGAAAUCUUCGAGCUUAACUCGGAAACUGCCGUUGAUACUAUCUGUCUUGAAUAACGUUGAGGUGAGCGGAAUAUGUCAUGUAGCGGUGAAAUGCUUAGAUAUGACAUAGAACACCGAUUGCGAAGGCAGCUCACUAAACGCUCACUGACGCUGAGGCACGAAAGCGUGGGGAUCAAACAGGAUUAGAGACCCCCGUAGUCCCUGUCUCUUAUAC
rnacentral:rRNA from 1 species